rnacentral:rRNA from 1 species
CCUACGGGAGGCAGCAGUGAGGAAUAUUGGUCAAUGGACGCAAGUCUGAACCAGCCAAGCAGCGUGCAGGAAGACGGCUCUAUGAGUUGUAAACUGCUUUUGUACGAGGAUAAAGCCCCAUACGUGUAUCGCGUUGCAUGUCUCGUACGAAUAAGGACCGGCUAAUUCCGUGCCAUCAGCCGCGGUAAUACGGAGGAUUCAAGCGUUAUCCGGAUUUAUGGGGUUUAAAGGGAGCGUAGGCGGUUUGACAAGUUCGAGGUGAAAUCGCCGGGCUAAACUCCGGCAUUGCGGCUGGUAAUGGCGUGCUUGAGUCUACGUGCGGUAGGCGGAAUUUGUGGUGUAGCGGUGAAAUGCAUAGAUAUCACAAAGAACCCCGAUUGCGAAGGCAGCUUGCUACAG